rnacentral:rRNA from 1 species
AUUGAACGCUGGCGGCAGGCCUAACACAUGCAAGUCGAACGAGUGGCGGACGGGUGGGUAAGGUCUGGGAAACUGCCUGAUGGAGGGGGAUAACUAAUGGAAACGGUAGCUAAUACCGCAUACCAGCGGAUGGGCCCAGAUGGGUUUAGCUAGAUGGUGGGGUAACGGCUUACCUAGGCGACGAUCCCUAGCUGGUCUUAGAGGAUGACCAGCCACCCUGUAACUGAGACACGGUCCAGACUCCUACGGGAGGCAGCAGUGGGGAAUAUUGCACCAUGGGCGCAAGCCUGAUACAGCCAUUCCGCGUGUAUGAAGAAGGCCUUCGGGUUGUAAAGUACUUUCAGCGGGGAGGCGUUACCCGCAGAAGAAGCACCGGCUAACUCCGUGCCAGCAGCCGCGGUAAUAC